rnacentral:tRNA from 1 species
GCUGAGGCUCAGUGGUAGUGCACUUGCCUGGCAUGAAUGAGGCACUGGGUUUGAUUCUCAGCACGGCA